rnacentral:rRNA from 1 species
UAGGGAAUCUUGCACAAUGGGCGCAAGCCUGAUGCAGCGACGCCGCGUGAGGGAUGAAGGCUUUCGGGUUGUAAACCUCUUUCAGCAGGGACGAAGCCCUUUGGGUGACGGUACCUGCAGAAGAAGCCCCGGCCAACUACGUGCCAGCAGCCGCGGUAAUACGUAGGGGGCGAGCGUUGUCCGGAUUUAUUGGGCGUAAAGAGCUCGUAGGCGGCUCUUCGCGUCGGAUGUGAAAGCUCAAAGCUCAACUUUGAGAGGCCAUUCGAUACGGGAGAGCUAGAGGCAGGUAGGGGAGAGCGGAAUUCCUGGUGUAGCGGUGAAAUGCGCAGAUAUCAGGAGGAACACCGAUGGCGAAGGCAGCUCUCUGGGCCUGUUCUGACGCUGAGGAGCGAAAGCUGGGGGAGCGAACAG